rnacentral:rRNA from 1 species
AGACCCGAAACCCGGUGAUCUAGCCAUGGGCAGGUUGAAGGUUGGGUAACACUAACUGGAGGACCGAACCGACUAAUGUUGAAAAAUUAGCGGAUGACCUGUGGCUGGGGGUGAAAGGCCAAUCAAACCGGGAGAUAGCUGGUUCUCCCCGAAAGCUAUUUAGGUAGCGCCUCGUGAAUUCAUCUCCGGGGGUAGAGCACUGUUUCGGCUAGGGGGCCAUCCCGGCUUACCAACCCGAUGCAAACUGCGAAUACCGGAGAAUGUUAUCACGGGAGACACACGGCGGGUGCUAACGUCCGUCGUGAAGAGGGAAACAACCCAGACCGCCAGCUAAGGUCCCAAAGUCAUGGUUAAGUGGGAAACGAUGUGGGAAGGCCCAGACAGCCAGGAUGUUGGCUUAGAAGCAGCCAUCAUUUAAAGAAAGCGUAAUAGCUCACUGGUCGAGUCGGCCUGCGCGGAAGAUGUAACGGGGCUAAACCAUGCACCGAAGCUGCGGCAGCGAACGUAUCACUUAAAGCGAUUCAGCGGAUGACGAUUGACGGAGCGAAGCGACGUCAAAGCGUA